CCUACGGGAGUCAGCAGUGAGGAAUAUUGGUCAAUGGACGCAAGUCUGAACCAGCCAUGCCGCGUGCAGGAAGACGGCUCUAUUAGUUGUCAACUGCUUUUGUACGAGGGUAAACGCAGAUACGCGUAUCUGUCUGAAAGUAUCGUACGAAUAAGUAUCGGCUAAUUCCGUGCCAGCAGCCGCGGUAAUACGGAGGAUUCAAGCGUUAUCCGGAUUUAUUGGGUUUAAAGGGUGCGUAGGCGGUCGGAUAAGUUAGAGGUGAAAUCCCGAGGCUCAACUUCGGAAUUGCCUCUGAUACUGUUCGGCUAGAGAGUAGUUGCGGUAGGCGGAAUGUAUGGUGUAGCGGUGAAAUGCUUAGAGAUCAUACAGAACACCGAUUGCGAAGGCAGCUUACCAAGCUACUUCUGACGUUGAGGCACGAAAGCGUGGGGAGCAAACAGGAUUAGAUACCCGGGUAGUC
rnacentral:rRNA from 1 species